rnacentral:rRNA from 1 species
UAACCUGCCCAAGAGAUCGGGAUAACACCUGGAAACAGAUGCUAAUACCGGAUAACAACAGAUGAUGCCUAUCAACUGUUUAAAAGAUGGUUCUGCUAUCACUCUUGGAUGGACCUGCGGUGCAUUAGCUAGUUGGUAAGGUAACGGCUUACCAAGGCGAUGAUGCAUAGCCGAGUUGAGAGACUGAUCGGCCACAUUGGGACUGAGACACGGCCCAAACUCCUACGGGAGGCAGCAGAC